UACGUAGGGUGCAAGCGUUGUCCGGAAUUAUUGGGCGUAAAGAGCUCGUAGGCGGUUUGUCGCGUCUGCUGUGAAAACUCGGGGCUUAACCCCGGGCCUGCAGUGGGUACGGGCAGACUAGAGUGCGGUAGGGGAGACUGGAAUUCCUGGUGUAGCGGUGGAAUGCGCAGAUAUCAGGAGGAACACCGGUGGCGAAGGCGGGUCUCUGGGCAGUAACUGACGCUGAGGAGCGAAAGCGUGGGGAGCGAACAGG
rnacentral:rRNA from 1 species